rnacentral:rRNA from 1 species
AGUGAACGCUGGCGGUAGGCCUAACACAUGCAAGUCGAACGGCAGGACAGUAAGAGCUUGCUCUUACGGGUGGCGAGUGGCGGACGGGUGAGGAAUACAUCGGAAUCUACUUUUUCGUGGGGGAUAACGUAGGGAAACUUACGCUAAUACCGCAUACGACCUACGGGUGAAAACAGGGGAUCUUCGGACCUUGCGCGAUUGAAUGAGCCGAUGUCGGAUUAGCUAGUUGGCGGGGUAAAGGCCCACCAAGGCGACGAUCCGUAGCUGGUCUGAGAGGAUGAUCAGCCACACUGGAACUGAGACACGGUCCAGACUCCUACGGGAGGCAGCAGUGGGGAAUAUUGGACAAUGGGCGCAAGCCUGAUCCAGCCAUACCGCGUGGGUGAAGAAGGCCUUCGGGUUGUGAAGCCCUUUUGUUGGGAAAGAAAAGCAGCAGGUUAAUACCCCGCUGUUCUGACGGUACCCAAAGAAUAAGCACCGGCUAACUUCGUG